rnacentral:rRNA from 1 species
UGACGGUAGGUAGAUAAGAAGCACCGGCUAACUACGUGCCAGCAGCCGCGGUAAUACGUAGGGUGCAAGCGUUGUCCGGAAUUACUGGGCGUAAAGAGCUCGUAGGUGGUUUGUCGCGUCGUCUGUGAAAUCCCGGGGCUUAACUUCGGGCGUGCAGGCGAUACGGGCAUAACUUGAGUGCUGUAGGGGAGACUGGAAUUCCUGGUGUAGCGGUGAAAUGCGCAGAUAUCAGGAGGAACACCGAUGGCGAAGGCAGGUCUCUGGGCAGUUACUGACGCUGAGGAGCGAAAGCAUGGGUAGCGAACAGGAUUAGAUACCCUGGUAGUCCAUGCCGUAAACGGUGGGCGCUAGGUGUAGGGGGCUUCCACGUCUUCUGUGCCGUAGCUAACGCAUUAAGCGCCCCGCCUGGGGAGUACGGCCGCAAGGCUAAAACUCAAAGGAAUUGACGGGGGCCCGCACAAGCGGCGGAGCAUGUGGAUUAAUUCGAUGCAACGCGAAGAACCUUACCUGGGCUUGACAUAUACAGGAUCGGGCUAGAGAUAGUCUUUCCCUUGUGGUCUGUAUACAGGUGGUGCAUGGUUGUCGUCAGCUCGUGUCGUGAGAUGUUGGGUUAAGUCCCGCAACGAGCGCAACCCUUGUCUUAUGUUGCCAGCACGUUAUGGUGGGAACUCAUGAGAGACUGCCGGGGUUAACUCGGAGGAAGGUGGGGAUGACGUCAAAUCAUCAUGCCCCUUAUGUCCAGGGCUUCACACAUGCUACAAUGGUCGAUACAGUGGGCAGCGACAUCGUAAGGUGGAGCGAAUCCCUGAAAGUCGGCCUUAGUUCGGAUUGGGGUCUGCAACUCGACCCCAUGAAGUCGGAGUCGCUAGUAAUCGCAGAUCAGCAAUGCUGCGGUGAAUACGUUCCCGGGCCUUGUACACACCGCCCGUCACGUCAUGAAAGUUGGUAACACCCGAAGCCAGUGGCCUAAAC